AUGCCCUUGCUGCACACAGAGAAGCUCCAGUGCAGCCGGCUGACAUGCCUUUUGUUUCUUUGUUUGCUUUGCUUUUUUCUUAAGACUCACAGCUUUAUAAAAUCUUUUGAAUUAUCAUAUAAACGCUUAAGGAGAUUAAAAAACUUGAAAAACAAAGGUGGGAGAGAGACUGGUGGAGACAGCUGGAGUCCUGGUGCCAAGAUGAGGCAGGAUCUAUGAUUUGAGGGGCUCAGGAAGACUUGAGGGUGUGUGGAGCAAGAAGGAUGAAGCCAGUGAGGGCUUGGCGAAGGGGCUUAUAAGCAGACCUCACUGUGAAGACACCAGAAACUGAGUGGAUAUUGUUUGCACGUAUGUUUGCCUGUUCCAGACGUAUGGGCGCAACAAGAGAACAAAGGUAGUGUGACGUG
rnacentral:lncRNA from 1 species